rnacentral:rRNA from 1 species
UACGUAGGGUGCAAGCGUUAAUCGGAAUUACUGGGCGUAAAGCGUGCGCAGGCGGUUUUGUAAGUCAGAUGUGAAAUCCCCGGGCUUAACCUGGGAACUGCGUUUGAAACUACAAGGCUAGAGUGUGGCAGAGGGGGUGGAAUUCCGACGUGUAGCGGUGAAAUGCGUAGAUAUCUGGAGGAACACCGGUGGCGAAGGCGGCAUCCUGGACCAAUUCUGACGCUGAGGAGCGAAAGCCAGGGGAGCAAAGCGGGAU